ACCCUCAGCCCUUUCGCUCGCGUCGUGCUGGGGGCUGGCUUCUCCCAGGCUCUCGGAGCGCGCUGAGCCCGUGUCUUCCCACCUGUGUUCAUGGGGUGUCCACCCCUUGCAUGGGUUCUCUACUCCCUCCGCGCAGAGGGCCUGCCUUUUGUUGGUGUGAGCUGGAGCCGUGUCCAUCCCGAGUUCCAGAUUUUCUGCCUGCAGGCAUGUGCCUGCCCCUGCUGCUGAACCGCUCUGGCAUCGUGCCUUGUCCCUGACACUCCGCGGUCUGCUCCGUGUGGCCACCGCUGUAGCUGCCUCUGGCCACUAGACUGUCCGCUUCCAGACAGAAGGCCAGGCCGGGCUCCUGUGUGCAGGUGUGGUAACCAGCCACCAGAUGGGCCCGUCUUUGUCCUCUUCACUCCGGGAGCUGAUGCAAUUGACGUAUUUUUGACUUCGGAUUUUCCUCCCAGGAAUGGGCUUCUGUUUUCGUAUUCGCCCUGGGAUAUUAGGCUACUUCAGGACGUUGCUUUACUUCAUGUGUUACUGGUGGCAAAACUGAAGAUUCAGACCUCCAUGGUUUCUCACUUGAAUUAAGCCUGUGCUGGUGUGCUCUCUGCUGAAAUGUAGUUGAAACCGCUCCGAAAGGGGCCUUGUGGAUCCCGCACACAGAGUCCUUUAUGAGACUUGCUUCAUAGGAAAGCUUCCGAAACUGCUCUCGGGGGUGUGUGGUUAAUAGGUGUGAAGAAAGACAGAAGAAGACUGUUCUCUUGCCUUCUGUUGGAAGCACAUGCCAUAAACUAUCUCAGUUUGGUACCUUUUUUUUUUUUUUUUUAAACCUUGCAUGCUCUUUUUUGGAAUUGCAGGAAUUUAAUUUUGCUCAAGCUUCUUUUUUUGUUCCUCUGCAGGUUUGCCCUCAUAUAACCGAUGUAGGUACUUUUGUGGAGACAUUCUUUAUACCUGUACUUUAAAAGAUAAUAGUUCAUAUAUUGUUUUUAAGAUAUUUUUAUCAGAAUAGAGUUCCAGCUGUCCUGGGGAUUCUGUAUUAAGAAGUGGUGGGAUAUCAGACCGUAUAAGCAGACAGUUCCCUGCAGACCGGCCUUCCGGUCCCGGCACUGCUCCCGCCCCACAGGCCCGGUGUUGCGGCCGAGGGUGCUUGCUGCUGCGUGUGCCGCUGGGGCAGUUAGCGAUGCCUGCUCAGCUCCCUUCUGCCUGCGCGUGGGGAAGGGCCACUCAGCAGGCCCACGUUGUUCACAACCUGCUGCUUCCCAGGAGGGACUUUGAGGGCUGGCUGCGUCCUGGACGCGCACACCGAGAAGCGUGUUUUGUCCACCCGUGGCCUGGAGCUGAGCGACAGCCACUUGCCCGGGAGUCGAUACUAACAGUCUGACUUACGGCAAACACCUGCUCUCCCUCUGGGUCUCUGGAGCUUCCACGACGAACUCCCACGAGGAACUCCCACGAGAGAGCCUGGACUCCAGACUCGGGAGCUUCCCUGGUGGCCGUGACUGGGCAUGUGUCCUUACAACUCGGAGCUGGCGGAGGAAGCACUUCCUGGACAGCACUGGUGACCACGGGACUCCUCCCGGUGCCUUUUCCCUGUGGAGUUUACUGUGUCCUUUCUCUGUAACAGCCUGAGCGCUGGAGUCCUCGCGAGUCAUGGAGCUGAGGGUGUUGUCGACGCCGAGGACAGCCUGACCUCUCUGCUCUCUCCAGAAACACGCCCCGCCGGACUUCCAGAUGGAAACAAGAGAGUUAGGACUUGGUGGACUUGGCUUUGCUGACAGGUUGCUCUGUAACCUUGGGUGCAUUGCACUUCUGGCCCCAGUUUCUUUGGGUGUAGAGACUGGAAGACUGGAGGUCUAGAUCCUUUUCCCCCUUGAGCCAAGCCCCAGUCCACUGGGUCCCACAACUGCCACGUACAGAACUGGGAGGCAGUGUGUCCGCCCGGACUGAGCUUACGGUGUUUCGCUAAUCGUCCCUAGGAUUGUUUCUGUUUUCAUUAAUGUAAAUACUGUAGCGAUUUGACCCCAGAUUUCACAGAGCCAGUUUCUAGAGCUCACACAUAUCACAUCCAGGGUACGGGCAUCUUUAAUGCUGAUGGUCAGGAUUUAGAUUGCUUUUCGGAAAGGCCAUGUUUCUAGUCGUGCUCUUUGAAGCUGUAGUUGAAGAAAACUGGAGAAGUGUGGAGUUUGCUGAACCAGAGUCUUGGAGAUUCUGUGCACCGAGUGCCAGUGCCCUGUGCCCAAGCCUGCAGCACUUGCCACACCUCUGUUGGCAGAAAAGCCCAGCAAGGCUAGGAGUUCCUGGUCUGAUGAAGUAAAGUGGAAAGACAUCACCAGUGAUGAUGUUUUAAAAAGUCUGAUUUUUAUUUAUUUAUUUAUUUAUUUGUCCCGAAAGAUUUCAAGUAGUUCGGUAUCUCAGUUGUGGAAAUGUUGGGUGUCAUGAAGUCGUAACCCUCAGCCACUCACUGAACCCACCGUUUACGCUUGUGGUUAACAGGACAUAAUUUCAAGAACAAACUCUUUGGAGGGUGGAAGACUACGUUACCACAGAGCAGAAUGGGCUUUUCCCUUUGAGAAUGGGGAGUCCGGCAGGCAUUUGUGUGCUUGAGGGUAAAGAGGGGAAGCGGUAGUGCUUUCUGGUGGGGACGGUCUCCUCCUCAGCAGCUACAGAUGGUUCCCUCGGCGGUCGCCAUUUGCUUAGCGUGGCCCCUUAGAGCUGCGGCACCGUUCUCAGGGCGUGGGCGAAAACAGUGUACGAGAUUUACACGGACAGGCAGUCCUCUGUUUUCUUUAGCUCUUGAGAUGAAAUUAAAGCAGGACUUGUCGGUACAGGGAUCACGUAUUCCUAAGUAGAAAUCUGACGAGAACUUUCUCCAAAUGAGCGGUUCUGACAUCCAACCAUGUUCGUGUCUGGGAAGAGCAGACAGGAAUGUUUGAAACUAGGGAUGGUCCAGAAAAUCCGGGCUAGAGGGUCACUGGGGGUGCAGGGCUUGUGGAAAACGUCUCCGUGUGUAGUGUGCCCUGUUCUCAGGGAGCUGUGUUAGCACUGUGCCGUGCUUUCUUCCAGAACACUCUUCUCCAGAAGACUCGGGUUCCCCGCCUGACUCAGGCGCGUCUGAGGCGCACUGCACGGGACAUACGAUGUGUCCCCACGCUGCGGUGUAUCCGCGUCACU